rnacentral:rRNA from 1 species
UGAGGAAUAUUGGGCAAUGCCCGCAAGGGUGACCCAGCAACGCCGCGUGGAGGAUGAAUGUCGUAAGAUUGUAAACUCCUGUUAGAGGGGAAGAAUAGUACCGGUUGGACCGGUAUAUGACUGUACCCUCAGUGAAAGCCCCGGCUAACUACGUGCCAGCAGCCGCGGUAAUACGUAGGGGGCAAGCGUUGUCCGGAUUUACAGGGUGUAAAGGGCGCGCAGGCGGGAUAAAAAGUCAGUGGUGAAAUCCUACAGCUUAACUGUAGAACUGCCUUUGAUACUUUUAUUCUUGAGUUCGGGAGAGAGAGACGGAAUUCCAGGUGUAGUGGUGAAAUACGUAGAUAUCUGGAAGAACACCAGUUGCGAAGGCGGUCUCUUGGUCCGACACUGACGCUGAGGCGCGAAAGCGUGGGGAGCAAACA